rnacentral:misc_RNA from 1 species
CAAGCCUUGUUUUAUUCAAUGGAAGUUCAUACAUUACAAAUGGAACCAAAUUACUCUUGUUUAAGAAAGGAAACAAACUUUCUCAUCAACUCCGAUGCCUUGUCAUGGUUGGGAUAACGAAUAUGGAAGCAGUGUUCUUCCUUUUCGUUUUCAACAAGUUCAAAGCUUCCUUUCCAUCCACUUUUCUUCAGCUUCUUAUGGUAGUUUUUGCCCACAGGGUUCAAAUGGUCUUUCUCAGCUACAAAAAUCAACACUCUCUCACACCCAAGCCCCCCAAUAUCCUCCACAGACGGGUUCAUCCUUGGAUCAUCCAAACCUCUAUUAUCUGGACACAUGUACAGCCACAUUUCAUCAUCUUCAGUGCCACCAAAAUAUGGGUGCACCAAAAUCAGCCCAACCACCUUUACUCCGGCUGGUAACCCGAUUGUCCCGACCCGAAACGCCAAAGUAUGCGAUAUGUUACCCCCUGCACUAUCCCCACCAAUAAAAACUUGCGCAAAAUCAGCAUGAUCAUUCAACCACUGCUCGGGUCCAUUCCGAUUCACAUGAGACGCCGCCCAUUGAAGCGCUGCCCACGAAUCUUCAUAGCAUGCGGGUAUGGGUCGGGUUGGGAAGAGACCGUACUCUACGGAGACAACGAGGACGUUAGCCUCAGCAGCUAGAGCAGCACAGUAACUGUGGUAGGCUGGGGAAAAGGCAGACAUCAUGGAGAAACCACCUCCAUGAAUGUAAAAUAAGAGAGGGAGUUUCUGAUUAGGGUUUUGGAGUUUUGGUAAGAAAAUACGGACAGAUACAGAGGGUUGGGUUGAGAUGGUCACAUCUUUGGAUUGGACUCCGCUGGCCGGGUCAUCAAAUGGUGGGAUUGUUUCGCAGGUUGGCAUGAACAUGUGGAUGCGACCAUCUUUGUACACCCUGAAGAAUCUGAACUCGUGGGCAACUUCAUUAUCAGCUGAUUCCAUUGAAAAAAUAAAGAAAAGGAAGGGUUAUCAGAGGCAAGAACCGGAAAUAUAAGUUUGGGGAAGAUAGAUAGAGUUUUGGAAUUGUUACGCGCUCUUGUUAGAGGCAAAUGGAGGGUUUUAUCGUAAUAAAAAG